AGAGUUUGAUCAUGGCUCAGGAUGAACGCUGGCGGCGUGCAUAACACAUUCAAGUCGAACGGAGUUAUUGAGAUUAAUCCUUCGGGAAGCGUUUGAAUAACUUAGUGGCGGACGGGUGAGUAACGCGUGAGCAACCUGCCUUGAAGAGGGGGAUAACACAGGGAAACUUGUGCUAAUACCGCAUAACGUACGUGAAUCGCAUGGUUCGUGUACCAAAGCUCCGACGCUUCAAGAUGGGCUCGCGUCUGAUUAGAUAGUUGGCGGGGUAACGGCCCACCAAGUCGACGAUCAGUAGCCGGACUGAGAGGUUGAACGGCCACAUUGGAACUGAGAUACGGUCCAGACUCCUACGGGAGGCAGCAGUGGGGAAUAUUGGGCCAUGGGCGAAAGCCUGACCCAGCGACGCCGCGUGAGGGAAGAAGGUCUUCGGAUUGUAAACCUUAGUCAACAGGGACGAAGCAUGACGGUACCUGUGGAGGAAGCCACGGCUAACUACGUGCCAGCAGCCGCGGUAAUACGUAGGUGGCAAGCGUUAUCCGGAUUUACUGGGCGUAAAGGGUGUGUAGGCGGGACGGUAAGUCAGAUGUGAAAACUAUGGGCUUAACUCAUAGCCUGCAUUUGAAACUGCUGUUCUUGAGAGUCGGAGAGGUAAAUGGAAUUCCCGGUGUAGCGGUGAAAUGCAUAGAUAUCGGGAGGAACACCAGUGGCGAAGGCGAUUUACUGGACGACCACUGACGCUGAGACACGAAAGUGUGGGGAGCAAACAGGAUUAGAUACCCUGGUAGUCCACACUGUAAACGAUGAAUGCUAGGUGUAGGGGAAGAUAUUCCUCUGUGCCGCAGCUAACGCAAUAAGCAUUCCGCCUGGGGAGUACGGCCGCAAGGUUGAAACUCAAAGGAAUUGACGGGAGCCCGCACAAGCAGUGGAGUAUGUGGUUUAAUUCGACGCAACGCGAAGAACCUUACCUAAACUUGACAUCCCGGGAAAGCCGAUGUAAUGUUGGCCGUGCCCUUCGGGGAACCCGGAGACAGGUGGUGCAUGGUUGUCGUCAGCUCGUGUCGUGAGAUGUUGGGUUAAGUCCCGCAACGAGCGCAACCCUUACGGUCAGUUGCUACGCAAGAGCACUCUGGCCGGACUGCCGUUGACAAAACGGAGGAAGGCGGGGACGACGUCAAAUCAUCAUGCCCCUUACGUUUAGGGCUACACACGUACUACAAUGGCGCGAACAAAGGGAAGCGAUACCGCGAGGUGGAGCAAAACCCAUAAAGCGCGUCCCAGUUCGGACUGCAGGCUGCAACCCGCCUGCACGAAGUUGGAAUUGCUAGUAAUCGCGGAUCAGCAUGCCGCGGUGAAUACGUUCCCGGGCUUUGUACACACCGCCCGUCAAACCAUGAAAGUUGGGAACACCCGAAGCCUGUGAGCUAACCGCAAGGAGGCAGCAGUCGAAGGUGGGUUCAAUGAUUGGGGUUAAGUCGUAACAAGGUAACC
rnacentral:rRNA from 1 species